AGAACGAACGCUGGCGGCAGGCUUAACACAUGCAAGUCGAGCGCCCAGCAAUGGGAGCGGCGGACGGGUGAGUAACACGUGGGAACAUGCCCUUUGGUACGGAACAACUCAGGGAAACUUGAGCUAAUACCGUAUGUGCCGGUAACGGGAAGAUUUAUCGCCAAAGGAUUGGCCCGCGUCCGAUUAGCUAGUUGGUGAGGUAACGGCCCACCAAGGCUCCGAUCGGUAGCUGGUUUGAGAGAACGACCAGCCACACUGGGACUGAGACACGGCCCAGACCCCUACGGGAGGCAGCAGUGGGGAAUAUUGGACAAUGGGCGCAAGCCUGAUCCAGCCAUGCCGCGUGGAUGAUGAAGGCCCUAGGGUUGUAAAGUCCUUUCGACGGGGAAGAUAAUGACGGUACCCGUAGAAGAAGCCCCGGCUAACUUCGUGCCAGCAGCCGC
rnacentral:rRNA from 1 species